GACGAACGCUGGCGGCGUGCCUAAUACAUGCAAGUAGAACGCAGUUGCGAACGGGUGAGUAACGCGUAGGUAACCUGCCUCAUAGCGGGGGAUAACUAUUGGAAACGAUAGCUAAUACCUCAUACUGUGAGAGGGACCUGCGUUGUAUUAGCGAGUUGGUGAGGUAAAGGCUCACCAAGGCGACGAUACAUAGCCGACCUGAGAGGGGGAUCGGCGCAAAUGGGCUUGAGAGAGCGCCCAGACUCCUACUGGAGGCAGAAGUAGGGAAUCUUCGGCAAGGGACCGAAGUCCCACCGAGCAACCCCGCCGGAGCGGAGAAGGUUUUCGGAAAGUAAAUCUCUUUUGUUAGGGAAGCGGUAACUAACCAGAAAGUCACGGCUAACUACGUGCCAGCAGCCACGGUAAUUC
rnacentral:rRNA from 1 species